AUGUCUUUCUUUCUGAAGGGCUUGCGGUUCAUUACACCAAAGGCUUUCAGUGAACUAUUGAAGCUAUCGAGAGAGUACCAAAUGCUGACGAAGUCGGUCCGUGAAGGGAGAACUUGCUGCUUACUUGCUAUAUCCCCGCGUUCUUGCACGGCUCGUUCUUCGAGCCCUGCUUCUCCCUUCCCCCUCUCCCCGUUCGUUCUACCGUCCAAAAGCCGUAUGGAGUAUAGCCAAGUGGUAAGGCAUCGGUUUUUGGUACCGGCAUGCAAAGGUUCGAAUCCUUUUACUCCAGAUUAUGAACACCCGAUCGGAUCUGUCAAGAACGAGCUGACGACUACUGGGGAAGCGGCUGAUUGCAGUCCCUGA